AUCUAUCUGACAAGUCCCUAAUAGGACGAAAUGACUGUCUUGGAU
rnacentral:hammerhead_ribozyme from 1 species